CACCAGACGGCUGGCGACAGGAGGGCCGGGAGAGCGAGGGACUGGCCGAGACGGCAGAGAGCCUGAGAAGGAGACGGAGAGACAGAGGGGCAGAGAGAAGCAGCGACAGAGACACACACAGACUGAGAAAGACGCAGCGCCGGGCCCGGGGACGCAGCGGUUAAGACCUAGAGCCCCCGAGGACGGAGUGGCUACCAGGUCCUACGAAUCCUGCGGAGCUGGACUCCGGCAGUUCACUUCAGCUGGAGAAGUAAAGGAGGGAUGCAGACGUGCCUCAAGUUCCUGAGUGCCAGCUCAGGAAGGAUGCUUUCCCUUCUCUUCCAGAAUGAGGCUCUUGUGUCUCCUUCUGAGAGAAGUGACCUAGCCACAGUGGAACAUCAGAUCCAGGACAAAUUGGAACCGUGGCCCAGAUCUCCUAAUACCAGCCAGGCUCUUCCCCACUCUUUGUGACCACCCUUCCUUUUAGGUUUUUGAUGGUUUGCUUUUUGUUUUACCACGCAUUCUUUAAGACACGCAAAACAAUAAUAAUAUUGUGUUAAUAAUAUCAUUAGUAAUACAGGGACCACCCACGUCCAGUUUAAAAACUUAAAAAAUGGAUCAAUCCAGGUGAAGUCCCCUAUAUAGUCCUCCCUACUCCCCCAAGAAGUAACCACUCUCCUGAAUUCGGUGCGUAUCUUUCCCAUAUCUUAUUUAUACUAUCACAUACAUAUGGAUCUUUGAGCAAUGUUGGAAUUGCUUUGCAUGUGAUUGAAUUUUGAAUAAAAAGUUUCACAUUGCAA